GGCUUGCAAAAUGUAAAGCACGCCUCUUGUGCAUGAUGGAAAAGUACCGAGACACUGUAUAUAAGAAGCUGUCUGUACUCACCUUCAGAGUUUUGUGAGUACUCUCUCAUUUUUUUCUCUGCUUGCAAGAAGAAAAAAAGUCUUACGAAGUGUUGUGGCGGGUUGCGAGGACACGCUAAGGCACACUUCCCUGCGGCGGCGAGGAUGCAUGCAGGCACACUUCCCUGUGGCGCCGAGGACGCGCUCAGGCACACUUUUUCUGGGAUUGCGAGGAAGCGAUCAGGCACACUUCCCUGGGAUUGCGAGGACGCGCUCAGGCACACUUCCCUGGGAUUGCGAGGACGUGCACAGGCACACUUCCCUGCAACGGUAGGUAUGCGCGCAGGGGACAGCGAGGACGCGAUCAGGCACACUUCCCUGGGACAGCGAGGACGCGCUCAGGCACACUUUUUCUGGGACAGCGAGGACGCGCACAGGCACACUUCCCUGGGAUUGCGAGGACGCGCUCAGGCACACUUCCCCAGGGGACUCUAGUGUGCAGCCCGUAGAGCGCCGACCACAUGCUCACUGCGACGUCGCCAAUUUGAGUCCGACCACCGACCUUUGUCACACGUCUCUCCCUUUCUCUGCUCCCAAUCCUUCUUGUAUCUCUACACUGUUCUAUCAAAUAAAGGGGAAAAAAACCCCCAAAAAAAUUCAUUUAAACUCAUACACUUCCUUGCGGCGGCGAGGAUGCGUGCAGGCACACUUCCCUGGGACAGCGAGGACGCGAUCAGGCACACUUCCCUGGGAUUGCGAGGACGCGCUCAGGCACACUUUUUCUGGGAUCGCGAGGAUGCGCACAGGCACACUUUUUCUGGGAUCGCGAGGAUGCGCACAGGCACACUUCCCUGCGGCGGCGAGGACGCGCACAGGCACACUUCCCCGGGGGACUCUAGUGUGCAGCCCGUAGAGCGCCGACCACAUGCUCACUGCGACGUCGCCAAUUUGAGUCCGACCGCCGACCUUUGUCACACGUCUCUCCCUUUCUCUGCUCCCAAUCCUUCUUGUAUCUCUACACUGUUCUAUCAAAUAAAGGGAAAACCCCCCCCCAAAAAAACUCAUUUAAAAAAAUUAAAUAAAAAAUCGACUAACCUGCAGGGCAAAAUAUCAAAAUAAACUUACCCUGGUUAAAAAUGUUUCAUUAUUUUUUUUUAAAGGCACUCUACUUAUAAUGCCUAUUAGUAGGCUUACAUUGAUCACGCCUAUUAGUAUUAAUAUAGCCUACUUAAUGUCAAUCUCACCGGAGGCGCCAAGCGUGGCUUCGCCGGUUAGCUCUUUAAUACCUGUAAGGAGGCUUUAUGGAGCGCAGAAAAACUCAACCGGCGAUCAUUGGUAGCCUGUUUAACGCAUAUGUUAAACUUUUGUGUUUUAGGACUUGUAUAGAACCACACCUCUGAUAAAUAAUAAAAGAGAAGUAUAAGUCAGAGGGAGAAUAAAUGGGUGAAUGGUUGUCAAUGGGAGCAACAGCAGCAUUACUGGCCUCUGCUGGCCAACAGUCAAGAGAGACGGGAAAACACCAGGUAAUUGACGACAUUCAGUCAGUGAAUAAUAAAAUAAUAAUAAUUAAAACAAAAAAACAGAAAAUAUGUAGCAGGGGGCAUAGAAUAACUUUUAUUGAGAUAUGUUUAUCAUGGAAGUUAACGUCAGAGCUCAAAGUUGAAUUCAUAACUUAAAUGAGGACGCGAGUCAGAGCACGCAAUGCAGUGCCCACGGUGAGCUCUCGGGGUUCAGGUGUUUCACGAGGCCGGAGACUCUUUUUGUGAACCGUGUGCUUGUAAUAGCUUUUCAUUGUGGUUUCCUCCAUUCCUAUGCACCAUUUCGCCUCACGGGCACCUUGGCUGGCGCUCGUAAGCCUAUGUGCUGUAUGUGACAUGUACACACCCUCGCUGUAGACUUCGGUAGCAUUGCCGCGCUCUCUCAUGGUUCCAGCUGCGUGGUUACGGGCCGUUUUAUACGGGCUGGUUUUAUCCACGUUUCCAUGUACGGCAGUGCCAUGCAUCAUUUUGUCAGUGAUAGUAAUGCAGCUCUGCGCAAUUCGUCGAGAGUGAACAUGUUUCGCUUCCAUCGGCACAGCCGAGAAGCUUCGUGUUCUGCCCAGUCGGUGAAAUAAAGCAUUCAUACCUCCUGUUGCUGUGAUUCUGCUCUUCUAAUCAGAACUCAACUCAAUCUGAGGUUUAUAAGUUUUAUGAACCACGCCCCCACAUAUUAUACUCAAUCAGGAAAGCCCUCCCACAGGAACCGAAACACAUCUUUGCGCUGACUGAAUUCUGUGAAAGAAGAAAGGGGAGUAAAAGAAUAUGCUGUUGGCUGUGGGAGGAGAAGUAGUAUUAUACGGUCUGAGAAAUAUGCUCCAUAAUCUUCGGAUACAGUUUUUUAGACUGAGACCAGAAGCUGAGACUUGUCGAAGACUAAACGAGCAGUUGAGCAGGCAUGCCCAACGGAGCCGGCGGAGUUACCUCUGACAGUGAACACACCUGUGAGACUGAGCUAAACUGGGGAAGGGCAUGUGCGCAGAGAAGAACUGCAAUGGAACAGAACUCUGGCUGCAGAAAGAAUAUAUGCUCUGUCCAGGCUUGUUGGAAUUUCUGCAUUUGUGUUUUUCUAAGGAAAACAAUGAUCGCACUGGCGAUUAUUUUAAGCCUCCAAAGAUGGUUCUUCCAAUAGGUUAAAAAAGAUGACAAAAUAAUAAAUAAAAACCUGCGGUUUUUCUGUCAGUGCUCUUUGCUUGCUUUUCGGGAAGAUCAGAUGAAUCCAGGACAAAAAAAAGUGACGGAAAGAAAGUCACAGGAGGAACAGUCACUGAAUAUACAUGUAAUGGCACAAUUUUGUGUAAGGUGUUUUUAAUCUAUACAUGUCAUGGUUUGUCUCUAAAUGACUGACUUAUUUCAUUACUUUGCUUACGAAACUGAAUAAAUCUUCUAUUUUUUCA